AAUUGGAAAAUUGCCAAAAUUGGCUAAAUAAAAAUGGGACUAAAUUGGAAUAUCUAGAAUUCUCUUCAUUUCUCUUCAUAUUCAUCAGCUGAAAAACAGCCAUGGAGGAGGGUUCAAGCUGGUUUUCAUACUCUAGCUUCAUGAUGUGGAUGGAGAGGAGGAGGAGGAAAAAUAUACAUAUAUAUGAAUGACUCGUGUAUAAAUUGAUCACAUGCCCGGUUAUAAUCGAUGAGUGUUGGAUUAGAAAUGAUAUAAUGUUUUAUUUGGAAUAUUUAUUAUGAAAUUAUGAUUAUCGUUAUAAUACAAAAAUUGAACUUGUGAGUUUAUAUGGCUAAAUUUUAGUGAUUAUUUGUUAAUUUUAUGAAUUUUAUGAUGAGUUAUUUCAUAUGUAUUGAUGAUAAAA